UGGGGAAUAUUGGACAAUGGGCGAAAGCCUGAUCCAGCCAUGCCGCGUGUGUGAAGAAGGCCUUUUGGUUGUAAAGCACUUUAAGUGGGGAGGAAAAGCUUAUGGUUAAUACCCAUAAGCCCUGACGUUACCCAUAGAAUAAGCACCGGCUAACUCUGUGCCAGCAGCCGCGGUAAUACAGAGGGUGCAAGCGUUAAUCGGAAUUACUGGGCGUAAAGCGCGCGUAGGUGGUUAUUUAAGUCAGAUGUGAAAGCCCCGGGCUUAACCUGGGAACUGCAUCUGAUACUGGAUAACUAGAGUAGGUGAGAGGGGAGUAGAAUUCCAGGUGUAGCGGUGAAAUGCGUAGAGAUCUGGAGGAAUACCGAUGGCGAAGGCAGCUCCCUGGCAUCAUACUGACACUGAGGUGCGAAAGCGUGGGUAGCAAACAGGAUUAGAUACCCUGGUAGUCCACGCCGUAAACGAUGUCUACCAGUCGUUGGGUCUUUUAAAGACUUAGUGACGCAGUUAACGCAAUAAGUAGACCGCCUGGGGAGUACGGCCGCAAGGUUA
rnacentral:rRNA from 1 species